UGGGGAAUCUUGCGCAAUGGGCGCAAGCCUGACCGAGCGACGCCGCGUGGGGGAUGAAGCCUUUCGGGGUGUAAACUCCUUUUCUGCGGGAAGAUAAUGACGGUACCGCAGGAAUAAGCACCGGCUAACUACGUGCCAGCAGCCGCGGUGAUACGUAGGGUGCAAGCGUUAUCCAGAUUUACUGGGCGUAAAGCGCGCGCAGGCGGAUGAUUAAGUCAGCUGUGAAAGCCCCCGGCUCAACUGGGGAGGGUCGGCUGAAACUGGUCAACUUGAGGGCAGCAGAGGAGUGUGGAAUUGCGGGUGUAGUGGUGAAAUGCGUAGAUAUCCGCAGGAACACCGGUGGCGAAGGCGGCACUCUGGGCUGUACCUGACGCUGAGGCGCGAAGGCCGGGGAGCGAACA
rnacentral:rRNA from 1 species